rnacentral:rRNA from 1 species
AUUGAACGCUGGCGGCAUGCCUUACACAUGCAAGUCGAACGGUAACGGGCCUUCGGGUGCCGACGAGUGGCGAACGGGUGAGUAAUACAUCGGAACGUGCCCGAUCGUGGGGGAUAACGAGGCGAAAGCUUUGCUAAUACCGCAUACGAUCUACGGAUGAAAGCAGGGGACCGCAAGGGCUUGCGCGGACGGAGCGGCCGAUGGCAGAUUAGGUAGUUGGUGGGAUAAAAGCUUACCAAGCCGACGAUCUGUAGCUGGUCUGAGAGGAUGAUCAGCCACACUGGGACUGAGACACGGCCCAGACUCCUACGGGAGGCAGCAGUGGGGAAUUUUGGACAAUGGGCGCAAGCCUGAUCCAGCCAUGCCGCGUGCAGGAUGAAGGCCUUCGGGUUGUAAACUGCUUUUGUACGGAACGAAAAGCCUUCUUUUAAUACAGGAGGGUCAUGACGGUACCGUAAGAAUAAGCACCGGCUAACUACGUG